UACGUAGGGUGCGAGCGUUAAUCGGAAUUACUGGGCGUAAAGCGUGCGCAGGCGGUUUUGUAAGCCAGAUGUGAAAUCCCCGGGCUUAACCUGGGAAUGGCAUUUGGGACUGCAAGGCUUGAGUGCGGCAGAGGAGACUGGAAUUCCUGGUGUAGCAGUGAAAUGCGUAGAUAUUAGGAAGAACACCGGUGGCGAAGGCGGCCCACUGGCUCGAUACUGACGCUGAGGUGCGAAAGCGUGGGGAGCAAACAGG
rnacentral:rRNA from 1 species